rnacentral:rRNA from 1 species
GACGAACGCUGGCGGCGUGCUUAACACAUGCAAGCCGAGCGGUAAGGCCCCUUCGGGGGUACACGAGCGGCGAACGGGUGAGUAACACGUGAGCAAUCUGCCCAUCACAUCGGGAUAACUCCGGGAAACCGAAGCUAAUACCGAAUACGACCACCUCCGGCAUCGGAUGGUGGUGGAAAGUUCCGGCGGUGAUGGAUGAGCUCGCGGCCUAUCAGCUUGUUGGUGGGGUAAUGGCCCACCAAGGCUUCGACGGGUAGCCGGCCUGAGAGGGUGACCGGCCACACUGGGACUGAGACACGGCCCAGACUCCUACGGGAGGCAGCAGUGGGGAAUAUUGGACAAUGGGCGAAAGCCUGAUCCAGCAACGCCGCGUGAGGGAUGACGGCCUUCGGGUUGUAAACCUCUUUCAGCAGGGACGAAGCGCAAGUGACGGUACCUGCAGAAGAAGCACCGGCCAACUACGUGCCAGCAGCCGCCGUAAUAC